rnacentral:rRNA from 1 species
UGGGGAAUAUUGGACAAUGGGCGAAAGCCUGAUCCAGCCAUGCCGCGUGUGUGAAGAAGGUCUUCGGAUUGUAAAGCACUUUAAGUUGGGAGGAAGGGCAUUAACCUAAUACGUUAGUGUUUUGACGUUACCGACAGAAUAAGAACCGGCUAACUCUGUGCCAGCAGCCGCGGUAAUACAGAGGGUGCAAGCGUUAAUCGGCAUUACUGGGCGUAAAGCGCGCGUAGGUGGUUUGUUAAGUUGGAUGUGAAAUCCCCGGGCUCAACCUGGGAACUGCAUUCAAAACUGACUGACUAGAGUAUGGUAGAGGGUGGUGGAAUUUCCUGUGUAGCGGUGAAAUGCGUAGAUAUAGGAAGGAACACCAGUGGCGAAGGCGACCACCUGGACUAAUACUGACACUGAGGUGCGAAAGCGUGGGGAGCAAACA